UUCUCGACCCCAGCAUCCUUGUACUCCAUGAUAUAUGGAUUGAUUAACUUAGCUAUCAGAUCUAUCUGCCAUAGAAUAAUAAAUACACAAAUAUCAUCAGAUAUCAAUUAGCUUAACAUUAUGUAGACCUAUCUACUCAACAUGAUAUCAUUCCAAGACAAAGUGAAAUUUACUCUAUAACCUGCAGACACAAGGUUCUAAACAAGACAAUGGCUUGCACGACGAUUCUGCUUCGCUUUCAAAAACUAAUGACUUUUUAGAGUGAAAUUGAUAUGAUUCGACUAACAAGACCCUAUAGCUAUUCAGUUUAAUUUCCAAGUUCUAAAAUUAGGUAGACAAACUGUUAACACGAUCUAAAGCAGGCAAGUUGAAUAAGAUUUUAAGGCUAAAGUUGAAUACAGAUAUAAAGCAGGCAAGUUGAAUCAGAUAUAAAGCAAGGAAGUUGGAAAAACAUCAUUUAACCUUCACAUGUAGAAUAGAAAGGGCAAAGAAUCAACUGAUGAAGCUAAAAUGCGAGCUAGACACCCAAAAAUCGUAUAAAAAACACAAGAAUAUCAAAACCCUAAAGCUAAAAUUUAGACUUUCAAAGAUAGAAUUUCUUACCUGAUAAACCCUAUACCAACAAAAUCGUGUUCUUCAGUGAGAAUUAUGACGGAAAUCAUGUUCCUCAUCGUGUUCUUCACCGAGAAAUCUGAGAGAAAAGCGUGACAAAGAGACUUAGCUUCAGUUCAUCUGUGACAGAGAGACUUAGCUUCAGC
rnacentral:lncRNA from 1 species